rnacentral:tRNA from 1 species
GGGAAGGUAGCUCAGUGGUAGAGCGCUUGCCUUGCAUGCAUGAGGUCCUGGGUUCGAUUCCUCGGCACCUCA